UACGUAGGCAGCGAGCGUUGUUCGGAAUUACUGGGCGUAAAGAGUGUGUAGGCGGUGCUCUAAGUUCGGUGUGAAAUCUCCUGGCUUAACUGGGAGGGUGCGCCGGAAACUGGAGUGCUUGAGCGUGGGAGAGGAAAGCGGAAUUCCUGGUGUAGCGGUGAAAUGCGUAGAUAUCAGGAGGAACACCUGUGGUGUAGACGGCUUUCUGGACCAUAGCUGACGCUGAGACACGAAAGCCAGGGGAGCGAACGGG
rnacentral:rRNA from 1 species